GUUGUCUAUUCCAUUAUCUUAGACACUAGUAGCACGCCGAUAUAAGGAUUUUUGAUUAACUAUUAAAUAAAACUUUCAACAACGGAUCGCUUGGCUCUCGCAUCGCUGAAGAACGCAGCGAAAUGCGAUGAGUACUGUGAAUUGCAGCAUUCACUGAAUCAUCGAAUUUUUGAACGCACCUUGCGCUCCGUGGUAUUCUGAGGAGUAUGACUGUUUGAGUGACAUUAACAUCUCAAGACCUGGCUGCUUUUGAUAUGUAUUGGAUUCGUGGGUGCUGCUGGUUGCUUCAGAUAGCUUGCUCUCCUUGACUGUAUUAGUGGCGACAGAGCCAUUGAACUCUAUUGAUGUGAUAAUAUCUAUCGAUGCCAGGAGUCAUGUUAGUUUACUCUGCUGUCUAACUCUAACAGUCGUCUGUAUCAACUGUACAACUCAACCUAACUUGACCUCAAAUCAGGUAGGACUACCCGCUGAACUUAAGCAUAUCAAUAAGCUGAGAAAAGAAACUACCAAGGCUUCCCCUAGUAACUGCGAGUGACGCGGGAAAAGCUCAAUUUAAAUCUGCCAGAUGCUUGUCUGGCCGACUUGUACCAAAAGAAGUGAAACCUGUGCUGGCACCGGGUCAACUUCUCCUG
rnacentral:rRNA from 1 species